rnacentral:piRNA from 1 species
UGAGAAGAACCUCCUUCCUCAUUAGGUGGAAC